AUUGAACGCUGGCGGGAUGCUUUACACAUGCAAGUCGAACGGCAGCACGGACUUCGGUCUGGUGGCGAGUGGCGAACGGGUGAGUAAUGUAUCGGAACGUGCCCAGUCGUGGGGGAUAACGUAGUGAAAAUUACGCUAAUACCGCAUACGAUCUAUGGAUGAAAGCGGGGGAUCGCAAGACCUCGCGCGAUUGGAGCGGCCGAUAUCAGAUUAGGUAGUUGGUGGGGUAAAGGCCCACCAAGCCAACGAUCUGUAGCUGGUCUGAGAGGGACGACCAGCCACACUGGAACUGAGACACGGUCCAGACUCCUACGGGAGGCAGCAGUGGGGAAUUUUGGACAAUGGGCGAAAGCCUGAUCCAGCCAUUCCGCGUGCAGGAUGAAGGCCCUCGGGUUGUAAACUGCUUUUGUACAGAACGAAAAGGUUUCUACUAAUACUAGGAGCUCAUGACGGUACUGUAAGAAUAAGCACCGGCUAACUACGUGCCAGCCGCCGCGGUAA
rnacentral:rRNA from 1 species